AUAUACAAAUAUAUAUAAUAAACAAACAAAACAUUUGACCAACUCAGUAGAUGAGAUCGAACAGUAAAUAUCUUAGUACCGCAAGGGAAAUAAACAAGCAAUAAAAAGCAAAGAUUAACCCUUGUACCUUUCGUAUCAUGGUCUAGCAAGAAAACAAAGACAAGAAGAAUCAAAGCCUACACCCCGAAACCAGAUGAGCUACUUUCAAGCAGCCUAACGAGCACACCCUUCUCUGUGGCAAAAGAGUGGGAAGACUUAAAAGUAGAAGUGAAAUGCUUACCGAAUCUGGAGAUAGCUGGCUACCCAAAAAAGAAUAUAAGUUCAACCACAGAACUAACAAGAACACUUUCUACCCUGUGGAAAAUCAAUAGGGGUACAGCUCUAUUGAAACAGGAUACAACCUGAAUUUGAGAGAAAAUUAAUACUUAGCCCCAGUAGGCCUUAAAGCAGCCACCUAACAAAAUAUCGUUAAAGAAUUAUUCAUCUUAAACUCCCCACUAACAUAAAACUCCAAACUAACUAAAGGUAAGUCCAUUAUAAUGGACACUACCAUGCUAGAACUAAUAAUAAGACAACCUCUCUUCAUGCACCUUUACACUAAAACCGGACCAACCACUAGCUAUUAACAGACCACACAAGGCAUAAAUCAAACACUACACAACUUAAAACAAACUGUUACCCCAACACAGGAGCAUUAAAAAGAAAGAUCAACCAUUAUAAAAGGAACUCGGCAAACAAAGACUCCAACUGUUUAACAAAAACAUAACCUUUAGACUUACCAAUAUUAAAGGCAACGCCUGCCCAGUGAACAAUUAAACGGCCGCGGUAUCCUAACCGUGCAAAGGUAGCAUAAUCAUUUGUCUACUAAUUAUAGACCUGUAUGAAAGGCAAAAUGAGAGUCCAACUGUCUCUUAUAACAAAUCAAUUAAACUGAUCUUCUAGUAAAAAAGCUAGAAUUCAACCAUAAGACCAGAAGACCCUGUGAAGCUUGAACUAAAAUAUUAAACCAUAUAAUAACUACUUUCGGUUGGGGCGACCUUGGAAAAAAAAAGAACUUCCAAUAAUACGACCUACCUCGUACCACACCCUUAGGCUUACAAGCCAACUAAUGAUCCAGUAAAACUGAUAAUUGAACCAAGUUACUCCAGGGAUAACAGCGCAAUCCUCUUCAAGAGCCCAUAUCAAAAAGAGGGUUUACGACCUCGAUGUUGGAUCAGGACAUCCUAAUGGUGCAGACGCUAUUAAGGGUUCGUUUGUUCAACGAUUAAC
rnacentral:rRNA from 1 species